GCUCUCUUGUGAUGUAUUGCACUGGGCUCAGAAAAUCAGUGUUGAAAAAAGUGCAGCUCUGCCCUUGACAAGGCAGAGUCUGAGGAGAUG
ensembl:snoRNA